UUAUAAAGGGGCGAAGACGGACGAGAAGGAAGUUGCGUGACAAGUGGUGCGAAUCGAAAGUAAGCGACGGUGUGCAACAAGUUUAAUUAAAUUAAAAAUAUAAAAGAAUAAAGCUUAUAUUUUGUAUUAUACUGUACCAAUAGGCAGAAGGGAGUGGAGCACGUUUGGCUAUUGGAUUGAGGCAUGAGCUUUCUUGGUGACCAAGGGCGGUUCAAGUCGGUCAAACCCCUGCCCAAUAUUUACUACAUGUGGGGCUAUUAAGCUUUUUAGUCAGUCAGUCUUUGAAGACUUCUUCCAAGUCAAAUCACAUACUUUUCGAACCAAACGCGGUGUUAUUGUUAUCUUGUAGCAGCCGGC
rnacentral:lncRNA from 1 species